CAGUAGCCGCGGGAACACGUAGGUGGCAAGCGUUGUCCGGAAUUAUUGGGCGUAAAGGGCUCGCAGGCGGUUUCUUAAGUCUGAUGUGAAAGCCCCCGGCUCAACCGGGGAGGGUCAUUGGAAACUGGGAAACUUGAGUGCAGAAGAGGAGAGUGGAAUUCCACGUGUAGCGGUGAAAUGCGUAGAGAUGUGGAGGGACACCAGUGGCGAAGGCGACUCUCUGGUCUGUAACUGACGCUGAGGAGCGAAAGCGUGGGGAGCGAACAGGAUUAGAUACCCCAGUAGUCCCUGUCUCUUAUAC
rnacentral:rRNA from 1 species